UGGGGAAUAUUGCGCAAUGGGGGGAACCCUGACGCAGCCAUGCCGCGUGAAUGAAGAAGGCCUUAGGGUUGUAAAGUUCUUUCGGUAUUGAGGAAGGUUGAUGUGUUAAUAGCACAUCAAAUUGACGUUAAAUACAGAAGAAGCACCGGCUAACUCCGUGCCAGCAGCCGCGGUAAUACGGAGGGUGCGAGCGUUAAUCGGAAUAACUGGGCGUAAAGGGCACGCAGGCGGUUAUUUAAGUGAGGUGUGAAAGCCCCGGGCUUAACCUGGGAAUUGCAUUUCAGACUGGGUAACUAGAGUACUUUAGGGAGGGGUAGAAUUCCACGUGUAGCGGUGAAAUGCGUAGAGAUGUGGAGGAAUACCGAAGGCGAAGGCAGCCCCUUGGGAAUGUACUGACGCUCAUGUGCGAAAGCGUGGGGAGCAAACAGGAUUAGAUACCCUGGUAGUCCACGCUGUAAACGCUGUCGAUUUGGGGGUUGGGGUUUAACUCUGGCGCCCGUAGCUAACGUGAUAAAUCGACCGCCUGGGGAGUACGGUCGCAAGAUUA
rnacentral:rRNA from 1 species